CCUACGGGUGGCAGCAGUAGGGAAUUUUUCACAAUGGGCGAAAGCCUGAUGGAGCAACGCCGCGUGAAGGAUGAAGGCCUUCGGGAUGUAAACUGCUUUUAUAAGCGAGAAAAAUGACGGUAACUUAUGAAUAAGGAUCGGCUAACUACGUGCCAGCAGCCGCGGUCAUACGUAGGAUCCGAGCAUUAUCCGGAGUGACUGGGGGUAAAGAGUUGCGUAGGUGGGAUAAUAAGUAGCUAGUGAAAUCUGGUGGCUCAACCAUUCAGACUAUUAGCUAAACUGUUAAGCUCGAGACCGUUAGGAGUAACUGGAAUUUCUAGUGUAGGAGUGAAAUCCGUAGAUAUUAGAAAGAACACCGAUAGCGUAGGCAGGUUACUGGGACGGUUCUGACGCUAAGGCACGAAAGCGUAGGGAGCAAACGGGAUUAGAUACCCUUGUAGUC
rnacentral:rRNA from 1 species